rnacentral:rRNA from 1 species
UACGUAGGGUGCGAGCGUUAAUCGGAAUUACUGGGCGUAAAGCGUGUGCAGGCGGUCUGUUAAGACCGAUGUGAAAUCCCCGGGCUUAACCUGGGAACUGCAUUGGUGACUGGCAGGCUUUGAGUGUGGCAGAGGGAGGUAGAAUUCCACGUGUAGCAGUGAAAUGCGUAGAGAUGUGGAGGAAUACCGAUGGCGAAGGCAGCCUCCUGGGCCAACACUGACGCUCAUGCACGAAAGCGUGGGGAGCAAACAGG